UUGAUUGUACUAAAUUUUUUAAUAAUAAUAAUGAUAAUGUACAUACAUACAUAAAAAGCUUUUCACAAACCCAAAUAAGCUUCACAACAUCUAGAACAGAAAGUAAAUGACAGAGAUAUUCGAGAUCCAAGAAAAAAAGAAGAAACAAGCGCAACAAAAUUAGGCAACAAUUGUAAUCAGAACAUUUUAAUAUCACAAAUGCUUUCUGUUAAUUUGUAAAGGUGGGGAUGCAGGGGGAGAGUUCCAGCAUCUAGGGGCCAUUGCUCUGAAGGACCCACUCCCCAUAGAGGACAUAGUGAAUAAAUUGAAUAAAUUGGUGCCAGAAGACUUGAGAGUCUGUCAGACCGAACAGGAGUAUAGGGAUGAAUCAAAUCAGCAGGGGUCUUUGAACGGCUGCUGUACACAACCUUCAGCUCAUGGCAUUGGAGGAGUAGAAUAGCUAUAUUUGCAGAUUUUGUGUGUUAAAACUUUGAUUCAGGAUGCAUUUUAACAUUUAAAUAGAUAUAUUUUGGUAGAAAUUAUUUGUUGUUGUUUUUUCUGGCAUUUUAAUGGCAGAUGUCAAACAUAAAAGAUGCAUUUCCACCACCUACUGGACUGGAGUAAGGACUAAAGCGCAGGAGAGGGAUUUUAUUGUGGCAUGGUGUAAACAUCAGGUUGAUUUUCACCAAAACUGAUUGGAGCAUUUGGAAAAUGAUCAGCAAGCUGGCAUGGAUAAUCAAACUUUAAAAUGAAAUAAAUAUAUACUGAACGAUAUGAUGGGGUUGCCUCUCCACCGCCGCCUCCUCCUCCUCCUCCUGUUGUUUCCUUCUUGGGUGCUGUACUUACACAACAGCAGUGACAUCAGUGAGCAAACUACUAAUCGAUACAGUAGUGCAUGUCAUAAUGGUGCUGACCAAAUAUUCUUUGUCUCAGUGUCAAAUAUAUAAAAGACACUCAGAGAUCAAACAAUCAAUCCUGCAAGAGUCAAAACUAGGGAGCCAUAAAUAAAAUUGUAAGCAAGUAUUUUUUAAGACUUAAUAUGAUUUGGUGAUGUUUUAAAAAUUGCUGUGAAAGAAAAUCUACUUACCAAGAGU